rnacentral:tRNA from 1 species
GGUCGUAUGGUGUAAAGGCAGCACAACGGACUUUGACUCUGUAAGUACAGGUUCGAAUCCUGUUGCGACUG